rnacentral:rRNA from 1 species
CACGUAGGGAGCGAGCGUUGUCCGGAAUUACUGGGUGUAAAGGGUGCGUAGGCGGGACAUUAAGUCAGGCGUGAAAACUAUCGGCUCAACCGGUAGCCUGCGCUUGAAACUGAAGUUCUUGAGUGAAGUAGAGGUAAGCGGAAUUCCCGGUGUAGCGGUGAAAUGCGUAGAGAUCGGGAGGAACACCAGUGGCGAAGGCGGCUUACUGGGCUUUAACUGACGCUGAGGCACGAAAGCAUGGGUAGCAAAC